rnacentral:rRNA from 1 species
UACGUAGGGGCAAGCGUUGUCCGGAAUCAUUGGGCGUAAUGAGCGCGUAGGCGGUCCAGUAAGUCCGCUCUGAAAGUCCGGGGCUCAACCCCGGGAGGCGGGCGGAUACUGCUGGGCUAGAGUCCGGAAGAGGCGAGUGGAAUUCCUGGUGUAGCGGUGAAAUGCGCAGAUAUCAGGAAGAACACCCGUGGCUAAGGCGGCUCUCUAGUACGGUACUGACGCUGAGACGCGAAAGCGUGGGGAGCGAACAGG